UAUAUAUAUAUAUAUAACAGAACCCGAAACUAAGAUGGGGACCCAUCCCCGUUGCAAGUUCUUGAAUCAAUGAUCCAAAAGAAUGAAAAUACUUUAAAAAAUAAGUGCAUCCUACUGCUUGCAACAACAUCAAAUAGAAUUGUACAAUCAGUUACAAAUAACAGAUCUAUUUUAGAGACCAUAGCUCACAAUCACAACUCCCUAGAUGGAAUCUCAGAUCUCACAAAUAGCAAAUUAAUAUGAUUCAGCACCUAACUGUUGCCUUCCUUACUCCUGCUUCCCCGCAGACCAAGCAAAGAGAAAGGGAGUAGAGAGAGACGCUGCCUUCUUGGCUCCAGCUUGCAACCGAGCAAAGAGAGAAAGAGAGAGUUGAGUGAUGUGAGCUUGCACGAGCUGGAUGUUGGCCGGAGGUGUUGCUGCUGAUAAUUCAUGACAGCACGAGUCCUGUGCAGGGCUAGCAGAGCGAGAGCACGUAGAUGCAGGAGUGCGGCACCCAGAUGCGAGAGGGAGUGCAGCGGUGGGGAGGCAGAGGAGACUGCGAGGAGUGCGGCGGCUAGGAGUCGGAUAGCAGAAGCUAGGUUUUUUUCUAUAUAUAUGUGUGGUAUUCUUAUGUGGGCUUUGUAGGCCUCAUAGGCCAAGGGAAUAAGGCCUUGUUUAGUUGUCAAAUUUUUUUGUUUUGAGAUACUGUAGCAAUUUCGUUUUUAUUUAACAAUUAUUAUCCAAUCAUAGACUAGCUGCAUCUCGCGAUUUACAGGCAAACCGUGCAAUUAGUUUUUGUUUUCAUCUAUAUUUAAUGCUCCAUGCAUGUGCCGUAAGAUUCGAUGUGAUGGAGAAUCUGGAAAAAUUUUUUUGUUUUUAGGGUGACUUGAACAAGGUCUAAGUUGGUAGCCUGUGUGGAGAUGAGGAAAGAGGGACGCGGGGAAACGAGGACGGGGGACGAGCUACCAGACCCAACGGGGAUUGGUUUUCCCCUGUUUAGCCCCCCGUGGGGAUAAUUUCAGUCCCAUCUCCGUCUCCUAAUAAGGGAAUCGCCGUCAGGAAUCGGAGAUUGGGUCCCGUUGACAUCUUUAAUUCAUGCAAAUAGCAUACUAAUGUCAUACUAAGAUUUUUUUGACAACUAAAUCGCAAAACUUCUUAAGCUUCUCUCUACUUCCAUAAAACGACAACUAUUUAUUUUAAUUAAAUUUGACAACUUAUUUAAUUAUAAGAUAUAGCCAUUAAUUUCGAAGACGUUUACAAGAAUUUAUUUAUUUGCUUCAAGUCAAUAUAUCACCGGCAUGUAGCCAAAGAGGUCAUGGUGUCAGAUUUGAUAAACAUAUGUUACGGCGCAUAUAUCUUGGAGAAGAAUCAUAGAAUGAUAGAACCACAUGUCGCUUAUACAAAAGAAGAAUUUCAACGACUGAUAUACAUAGGAAAGGUGUAGAAUUAGCUAUAAAUUGUUUUUAUUUAAUUUGAUCACGCAAGAUAUACGUCCCGUUACAACGCACGGGCAUAUUUGCUAGUUAAUAAAAAAAAUAUAUAAUAUCUUUGUGAGAAAAAUAGUCUUCGCUGAUAGUUUUGGUUUUCUACAGACAGGCUCCCACGUUAAUUCGGCCUAUAAUUAGAGUGACUCAAUCCAGCAGGUAUUUCAGAAAACCAUAGCAAGGUUUUCAUAGAUUCCUCUAGUCAUUCAGCUGAAUGAAAAAAAAAAAAAAGCGAGGAGACGAGGCCGCCAACACUUUUUUGUACCACCACGGCCCAUUGCCAAACCCAUAAACCCUCCUCAGUCCCCACUAGGGUUUCUCCCAAAAUCGGCACCGCCGCAAUCCGCCAUGGCCGCCGACACUUCGAAGCCCUUCUUCCCCGCGGCGCCGCACUCGGCUCUCCUCCCCUCCAGGAGCGCCGCCUCGCGCGCCACCCCUGAGGGCUCCUACUGGCGCGCCUUCCGCUCCUCCGAGCUCGUCUCCGACGCCGGCUUCCCCGUCACCGACCU
rnacentral:lncRNA from 1 species